UACAGAGGGUGCAAGCGUUAAUCGGAAUUACUGGGCGUAAAGCGCGCGUAGGUGGUUUGUUAAGUUGGAUGUGAGAGCCCCGGGCUCAACCUGGGAACUGCAUCCAAAACUGGCAAGCUAGAGUACGGUAGAGGGUGGUGGAAUUUCCUGUGUAGCGGUGAAAUGCGUAGAUAUAGGAAGGAACACCAGUGGCGAAGGCGACCACCUGGACUGAUACUGACACUGAGGUGCGAAAGCGUGGGGAGCAAACAGG
rnacentral:rRNA from 1 species